GGUGAGGUGCGAGAGCGGUUGAAUCGGGCGGUCUCGAAAACCGUUGAACCUUUGCGGGUUCCGUGGGUUCGAAUCCCACCCUCACCGCCA
rnacentral:tRNA from 4 species